UAGGAUACCAUGGGCUGACAUAGCGG
rnacentral:piRNA from 1 species